CCGGCCGGAACCUGAUGAUGCAGCAGCAACGCGCGGUAAUACGUAGGGCGCAAGCGUUAUCCGGAAUUAUUGGGCGUAAAGAGCUCGUAGGCGGUUUGUCGCGUCUGCUGUGAAAUCCCGAGGCUCAACCUCGGGCCUGCAGUGGGUACGGGCAGACUAGAGUGCGGUAGGGGAGAUUGGAAUUCCUGGUGUAGUCGGUGGAAUGCGCAGAUAUCAGGAGGAACACCGAUGGCGAAGGCAGAUCUCUGGGCCGUAACUGACGCUGAGGAGCGAAAGGGUGGGGAGCAAACAGGCUUAGAUACCCUGGUAGUCCACCCCGUAAACGUUGGGAACUAGUUGUGGGGUCCAUUCCACGGAUUCCGUGACGCAGCUAACGCAUUAAGUUCCCCGCCUGGGGAGUACGGCCGCAAGGCUAAAACUCAAAGGAAUUGACGGGGACCCGCACAAGCGGCGGAGCAUGCGGAUUAAUUCGAUGCAACGCGAAGAACCUUACCAAGGCUUGACAUAUACGAGAACGGGCCAGAAAUGGUCAACUCUUUGGACACUCGUAAACAGGUGGUGCAUGGUUGUCGUCAGCUCGUGUCGUGAGAUAUGUUGGGUUAAGUCCCGCAACGAGCGCAACCCUCGUUCUAUGUUGCCAGCACGUAAUGGUGGGAACUCAUGGGAUACUGCCGGGGUCAACUCGGAGGAAGGUGGGGAUGACGUCAAAUCAUCAUGCCCCUUAUGUCUUGGGCUUCACGCAUGCUACAAUGGCCGGUACAAAGGGCUGCAAUACCGCGAGGUGGAGCGAAUCCCAAAAAGCCGGUCCCAGUUCGGAUUGAGGUCUGCAACUCGACCUCAUGAAGUCGGAGUCGCUAGUAAUCGCAGAUCAGCAACGCUGCGGUGAAUACGUUCCCGGGUCUUGUACACACCGCCCGUCAAGUCAUGAAAGUCGGUAACACCUGAAGCCGGUGGCCUAACCCUUGUGGAGGGAGCCGUCGAAGGUGGGAUCGGUAAUUAAACACAU
rnacentral:rRNA from 1 species